rnacentral:lncRNA from 1 species
GGCAUAUCUGAUACUUACUGCUCUUAAGUGCAAGUCAAACAUGUUAAUGCUGAGUUAAACACUUUGCUGGUGCUUCUCCCACACUGUUUGGAGAGCUGUGAUUGUGCCCAGUGGCACAUACAGAUGUUACUUUAUGAGCCAGUGCUGUAACAUUUCUGCAUCAUGGGGUAUGUGCUCAUUUUUAAACCCGUGACCCAAGUCCAUGAGGUUCAGCUCAAGAGAGAAAUAGAUUGUAGGCAUGGUGGAAAUGUUGCGUCAGUGGGAAUGACAUGACGAGCUGCAGAGUACGUGGAUGUGGUCCAAAACGGAAGGGAAAGCCAUUUAACAAGUGUGUUGUAUGCACAGAUCUCACUGAAAGUCUAAUAAAAGCUUAGCUCUUAGUCUGCAGAGUCUUAGAAUAUGUUACUACUUAGAGAAAAGCCAGAGCAUUGUUUCUGCUUUGUUGACAAAUGUGUUUUUAUCUGCUUCAAGUUGGCCCGUUGCAAAUCUGACAGCCAAGAUGGACAGAAGAAAACCUCAUCAAAGUCCAAAAUCCUAAUGUCUGCAAGAAAAACCGUCCGGUCAUCCAUCUCUCGUCGUCAACCGCUUGUCUCGAGCGGGGUCAGGGCGAGCCGGAGCCUCACCCGGCAACACGGGACGCAAGGCCGAAGGGGGAGGGGACACACCCAGGGCGGGACGCCAGUCCGUCACAAGGCACCCCAAGCAGGAAUCGAAUCGCAGACGCAGUACGCAGCAGGCACGAGCUGAAUCCACCACAGCACCAUGUCCUCUCUAAGAAAAACCAUUAGACCAUUAUGUUCUGGCUUUUAUUAUGUAAUGGGAAUUGACACACUUUCUGCUGAAAUAUAAUUGUUCAUCAUGUGAUAGCUAUUAUUAACAGAAAUGCCCACAGCAGAUUUAUGGAAGAUUUAAUGUCACUGAUUUAACUUCAUGCAGAAGUAAAACACCAACUGACAAGGGAGACACAAGCUACUCUAGUACUAACAGAACCUACCAAAAUACCAAUAAAGACCACAGUGGUUAAGGCCA